UCUAUAUCCGAAAAGCGUAGAAGCCCCGUGUGUCUGUCACUCACUCAUGCUGGGGCGGACAAUGCCGCAGGGAAAGCUACUGGCCGCAUUGGCCACCUCGUGCUCGGCCAGGUGCUUGGUGAAAGUGUACUCACUUCUUUUCGAGUGCCUUUAGCGCCUCGUCGUUGAGGGUUUCGGCCAGCUGUAUGAUCUUCUCGGGAUCGUCGGGCGAAGGAUAGAGCUUCUCCUCGACCUCUGUCAGAUAGGCGUUCACAUAAGCGCUGGACACAUGGACCAGCGAAUCCAGUUGCUUCAGCUGUUGGCACAGCUCCACCACGCGUCGUGUUCCCUGCAGAUUGAUGUUGGUCGUCUCCUUGAGGGACUGAAAGAAGUCCAGGGUGGCCGCCGAAUGGAACACCACAUUUACAUUAUCGAUCAGCGUCUGGCGGUCCUUUGGCGAGAUUCCCAGGUUGUCCAAGCCCACAUCACCCUCAAUGGGGACGAUCUUCGUGAGACGCGACUCCAGCUGCAUCUCCUUGAAGCGAUCAAAGACAGAGUUUUUCUUGAGCUCCUCGAGCCUCUCCUCCACGCUCUUUCCCUUCUUGGCGCGCAUCAGCAGAUACAGGUUGCCCACCUUGGGCACAUCGCGCAGCAGCUUCUCCACAAUGGUGACGCCCACGAAGCCAGUGGCGCCCGUGAUGAACACAUUGCGCCCCGCAUAGAAGUCUGUGAUGGAAGAGCUGAAACAUUGUAGGAAUACAUGCCAUAAAAUGAAAAUGAACUCUCAUCAAACUUUCUCUCAUCUCCCAUUCAAAUGGCAGUGGCUGCUGGCGUUGCGUCGUGGCAAACUUACGAAACCCCAAGCGACUUUGUGGACAUCUCCGACUGGAUUCCAAGGCAAAACCUGUUUCCCGCCAGGUGCCGGGUGUCGGUUUUCGGGUCACUGCCAAUACUCGUACUGUUCAAAUCCAAUUUGUGGGCGUCCCAGUUGACUCUAGCCUAAUGGUGCAUUGCCUAUUGUAUUCGGCUGCACUCAAACCUGUCAUUUGAUUAAAUAACAUGUCAAGGAAUGCAUUUAGAAACUGAAGAAUUAAAGGCAUAAUUCAGUCAUGAGAUCUUUGGAACUUUAUUCCAUACAGAUUUAUUUGUAAUGCUUAAAUUAAUUGCUUAAAGGCUGUUGCCGUCGACAGACAGACAUAACUGAUCGACCAUAGCCUUUUCCUGUAAGCUACACUGAAAUAUUCGGCAUCCCAGCGUAUUGCCAAACCUUUUCCCCGUCAAACAACGAAAGGCACACGCAACUUGAUCAUUCAAUUAGCCAACUCCAAGCGCAUUUUUUCUUUUAAUGAUCUGCAGUCCGCGCCAUCUCAAAUUUUUUGUUAUGCCAAAUGAUUUUAUAAUGAUGAUCAUUGAAGGGGAUCGAAUCUCUGUUUUUCCCCUCAACAAAUGCGUGAUAUAAUUUCUACAUAACAAAUCCCAUAUAAAACUCGAAGAAAUGCAACAUUCCCUAUAUGUAUGUACAUAAAUUGUAGUAUUUAUAUACAAAAAUAAUGCAAAUUUCCGCAUGCAGUCACAGGCGAGGCCCUGAAGGUCUUUGCAGGUCCAUAAAAAAGGCGUCAAGUCAUGGUUAAUGAUUGCAUGUUGCCCCCUGGCGGCCUCUUGUCAGAGAUUGCUGUCUAAACUAAAUUGAGCUUUCACUUUGGAGCAGCUACUACCCGAAACAGAAGGGAAACGAAGCAGGCGGGUGACCCGAUCCAAAGACAGGCAGAAAUGUGUUGCCUUGUCUUUUUCUGUCUUUGAUCCCAUUCAGUGCUGUGGUAAAUUGGGUUGCUUAUCUGGCUGAUACCAUGCACUGUCCGUUACGCUGAUUAGAUAUACCAUCUGGUCAGUGGCGCGGCUUAUCUUGGCAAUUAAGGAACCCUCGACUCAAUCAUCGUCUGUUUGCCUGUCUGCCUGGAUAACUGACCCUACCAACUGUGGCCAACCUUGCGGUGGCCAAUAAAUCUCUGGCUUACCUUACUCUUGCGAUUAUUAAUGAACGUUCGAAAAGACUACAUAUGACAACCUGUAAUUUUCCGCUGGAUUUUCUGACGACUGCAAAACGGAACCAUUUACGUCAUCUCUGGCUUGCUGCACCAGAGAACUACAGAUCUGUGGAUACACUUCCCUUCCCCACUCACUUCCCAAGGAAAAAGGCAAGGCGUCAACAGGUCAAAGUUUGAGUAGAGACUGAAGAAUGCAAUCGCUCUCUCUGUAAACACUCCCUCUCUCAGAGAACACAGUCGACUCUUAUGUGAUGGAGAAGAAAGUGUCGAGAGAUGCUAAUGCAAUGGAAUAACGAGAAGUUGUUGUACAUUUGCGUUGCGGCUGCUCUUUUAGAAACAAUAUUCCAAGAAAUGCAUUCGAGUGGAUGUCAAAGAUCGUGCACAAAUAGAUUUAAAUGCAUGUUUCUUGGCAGAUCUGCCGCAUUUCGAACUUUGCACCGAAUAUCUAACCUCAAUAGCAGCUUUCGAGCGGAGAAAAGAGAAAAAUUUGGCCGAAAGUUGUCAAACGGGCUACCAAAAAAACACACACACACACGCCGCUGACAGUUCGGGUCCACGAUCGGGUCUUGCAUUGUUUAAGACACAUUGAGUAACACUACUUACCUGGCCAUAAUUUCUGCAGGUGUACGAAAUGGGUAUAGAUAUCUAUCUAUCUAUCUUUCGGCUGCUGUUGCCUAUCGCUGGGUUUAGAG